rnacentral:rRNA from 2 species
UAGAGUUUGAUCCUGGCUCAGGAUGAACGCUGGCGGCGUGCCUAAUACAUGCAAGUCGAACGAGUUCUGAUUAUUGAAAGGUGCUUGCAUCUUGAUUUAAUUUUGAACGAGUGGCGGACGGGUGAGUAACACGUGGGUAACCUGCCCUUAAGUGGGGGAUAACAUUUGGAAACAGAUGCUAAUACCGCAUAAAUCCAAGAACCGCAUGGUUCUUGGCUGAAAGAUGGCGUAAGCUAUCGCUUUUGGAUGGACCCGCGGCGUAUUAGCUAGUUGGUGAGGUAACGGCUCACCAAGGCAAUGAUACGUAGCCGAACUGAGAGGUUGAUCGGCCACAUUGGGACUGAGACACGGCCCAAACUCCUACGGGAGGCAGCAGUAGGGAAUCUUCCACAAUGGACGCAAGUCUGAUGGAGCAACGCCGCGUGAGUGAAGAAGGCUUUCGGGUCGUAAAACUCUGUUGUUGGAGAAGAAUGGUCGGCAGAGUAACUGUUGUCGG